rnacentral:rRNA from 1 species
GAUGAACGCUGGCGGCGUGCCUAAUACAUGCAAGUCGAGCGAACAGACGAGGAGCUUGCUCCUCUGACGUUAGCGGCGGACGGGUGAGUAACACGUGGAUAACCUACCUAUAAGACUGGGAUAACUUCGGGAAACCGGAGCUAAUACCGGAUAAUAUAUUGAACCGCAUGGUUCAAUAGUGAAAGACGGUUUUGCUGUCACUUAUAGAUGGAUCCGCGCCGCAUUAGCUAGUUGGUAAGGUAACGGCUUACCAAGGCGACGAUGCGUAGCCGACCUGAGAGGGUGAUCGGCCACACUGGAACUGAGACACGGUCCAGACUCCUACGGGAGGCAGCAGUAGGGAAUCUUCCGCAAUGGGCGAAAGCCUGACGGAGCAACGCCGCGUGAGUGAUGGAGGUCUUCGGAUCGUAAAACUCCGUUAUUAGGGAAGAACAAAUGUGUAAGUAACUAUGCACGUCUUGACGGUACCUAAUCAGAAAGCCACGGCUAACUACGUG